UACGGAGGGUGCAAGCGUUAUCCGGAUUAACUGGGUGUAAAGGGUGCGUAGACGGCGCAUUAAGUUCGUUGUUAAACCCAUCGGCCUAACUGAUGGUUCGCAAUGAAAACUAAUGUGCUUGAGGGUGGAAGAGAGAAGCGGAAUUCUCGGAGUAGCGGUAAAAUGCGUAGAUCUCGAGAGGAACACCGAUGGCGAAGGCAGCUUCUUGGUCCAUUUCUGACGUUGAUGCACGAAAGCGUGGGGAGCAAACAGG
rnacentral:rRNA from 1 species